UAUUUAGUAAAGAUUAUGAAAUAAUUAUAAGUUAUAACACAGAGAGACAAAGCUUUUUGAGUCAAAACCUAAUAAAAUGAAUGCUGUGGUCAAAAACUUAAUCAGUGUACAGUAUGAUGGGAUUUUUUUAUGCAGGUUUGUACAAUAGCAUAUAACUUAUAGGCCUAGUUUAUGUUUAACAUUUUUGACAAAUUAUUUUGUGAAAUAAAUAAAAUAACCAAUUUAUUUAGACUGUGCAGUAACAUGUUGUUAUGGUUUAAUAAUUUAUUUGAAACUAACAAUUAUAAAAAAGCCCUCUGGUGACGUCAGUCAUUGACAAGGACAUCGUCAUGGACCAGUGGUGAAGAGCCUCGAGAGAAGGUUAAUUUUUCGAAAGGAGAAGUCCACUAUUUCAGCUUCAUCAUUCAGCCUGGAAACUGAACUGCUUCAUAAAACUUGUGCUUGAAAAGUGUCAUGGGACCCAUAUUAAGUUUUUCUAAAUUUGAUUUGCUGCACACAAGUAGCUUUGAAGAAGAAGGAUCCCAGCUUAAAGAAAAACGUGUCACAUCCAUAAUUGUUUGACAUCAUCUUCAAGCACACCUGGAUUCCUUGUUGCAAUGUCUUCAAAACAAAUGUAAAAAUGAAAGGAUUUCAGUGGUGAGCUCAUAUGAUGGGAUCAAAAGGAAGUGAACUGGACUCUGAGGGACUUAACACAAGGCAAAUUCAUUUCAAUACAUUUUAUGUCAAGAUUAAUUCUGUGAUUUAAAUUCAUAUUUACACACUCUACAAAUGCUGUCUUCCUACCUCAGAUUGUGAUGGACCUAGAAUGCGACAUCGUUUAUGAAUAAGUCAAGAACCAAAUGAAACACACUAUUUUCCAGAGUACAGAUUAUGGAGGGGUCUGCAAAACUAAUGGAGCAGUUUCUUCUUCUUGGAGUGCCACAGCUUGAUGCUGCAUAUAAGGACUUAGUGAAGGACACAGAAACAUCUUUAAAAAAAAUGGCCCAAUAGAAGGGAAGGAAAGAAGGAAGUACUCAGCAUUGAAAUAUUUUUUUACAGAAAUCCAAAGAUCCUAACAGCUCUCCUGAUUCCGUCAAGGCUUGAAGUGUCAGCAUUACGAUGGCCAACACUCGCUCACUAUCCUUCUGCUCCCUCAUUUAUCAGAGGCACCACAGUAGAAUGAAUUAGCAAUUACUCUUCACUUUCCAGCCGCCACCCAGCACUGGGAAACACCCAUACACUCUCUCAUACACCUGCACACAUUCACUUACUAUGGCCAAUUCACCAAUACCGUACGCAUGCCUUUGGACUGUGGGGGCAACUGGAGCACCCAGAGGAAACCCACACAAACACUGGGAGAACUUGCAAACUUUCGUCAACUUGUUGAAAUUGUAGUGUUAUUUAAUAGAUGUUUGUGUAUUGUUUCUAUCUGCAUUGUAAUACAUUUUUCAUCAUUUUAGAGAUGUUUGAAAGUUAAGUUUUGUAUUUGUUCAAUCAGUAAGCAAGCUUACAAAUGUUUAAUAAAAAGUGAAAUCAUUAGAAUUAGAUUGUUGAAUGCCAUUAAGCUGUUAAUUAUGUUUACUAAUUAAAUAGUAAAAAUGUAUAAUGUUUAGAGGUAGAUCUUAUACAAAGUACGCAGAGGUGCAAUUUUAAAUAUUAUCUAAAACUUAUUUUGUGAAGUAAAUUGAAUAAAUUUAAACAAUUUGAA